rnacentral:rRNA from 1 species
GUUAGGUGGCAAGCGUUGUCCGGAAUUAUUGGGCGUAAAGCGCGUGCAGGCGGGUCCUUUAAGUCUGAUGUGAAAGCCCACGGGCUCAACCGUGGAGGGUCAUUGGAAACUGGGGGACUUGAGUACAGAAGAGGAAAGCGGAAUUCCAAGUGUAGCGGUGAAAUGCGUAGAGAUUUGGAGGAACACCAGUGGCGAAGGCGGCUUUCUGGUCUGUAACUGACGCUGAGGCGCGAAAGCGUGGGGAGCAAACAGGAUUAGAUACCCUGGUGGUCCACGCCGUAAACGAUGAGUGCUAAGUGUUAGGGGGUUUCCGCCCCUUAGUGCUGCAGCUAACGCAUUAAGCACUCCGCCUGGGGAGUACGGCCGCAAAGGCUG